UGUCCCAAAGACGCCUCCACCGAUCUCGUCUGAUCUCGGAAGCUAAGCAGGGUCGGGCCUGGUUAGUACUUGGAUGGGAGACACCCUUCCUUAACUUCUCCUUCUGACAAUAGGCUGGCUUCAGGAUAA
rnacentral:rRNA from 1 species